rnacentral:rRNA from 1 species
GACGAACGCUGGCGGCGUGCCUAAUACAUGCAAGUCGAGCGCAGGAAACUGACGGAACUCUUCGGAGGGAAGGCAGCGGAAUGAGCGGCGGACGGGUGAGUAACACGUAAGGAACCUGCCUCAAGGAUUGGGAUAACUCCGAGAAAUCGGAGCUAAUACCGGAUAGUUCAACGGACCGCAUGGUCCGCUGAUGAAAGGCGCUUCGGACUCACCUUGAGAUGGCCUUGCGGUGCAGUAGCUAGUUGGUGGGGUAACGGCCCACCAAGGCGACGAUGCAUAGCCGACCUGAGAGGGUGAUCGGCCACACUGGGACUGAGACACGGCCCAGACUCCUACGGGAGGCAGCAGUAGGGAAUCUUCCACAAUGGACGAAAGUCUGAUGGAGCAACGCCGCGUGAGUGAUGAAGGUUUUCGGAUCGUAAAACUCUGUUGUAAGGGAAGAACACGUACGAGAGGAAAUGCUCGUACCUUGACGGUACCUUACGAGAAAGCCACGGCUAACUACGUGCCAGCAGCCGCGGUAA